CGAGCGGGCCACGUGAUCGCCCCGAGCGAUCGGGGAGGAAAGUCCGAACUCCGAACGGGCGGCAUGCCGGGUAACGCCCGGUCGCGGUGACGCGAAGGAAAGUGCCACAGAAAAGAAACCGCCCUGCGCUCCUCGCGGAGAGCACGGUAAGGGUGAAACGGUGCGGUAAGAGCGCACCGCUCCGCCGGCAACGGCGGAGGCACGGUAAACCCCAUGCGGAGCAAGGCCAAAUAGGGAGUUGGAGGGCGCCCGUCCCAUUCCGCUUCGCGCGGACCAUCUCCGGGUCGGCUGCUGGAACCCGAAGGUGACUUCGGGUCGAGAGGAAUGAUCGCGGUCCCGGGCAACCGGGAGACAGAAUUCGGCUUACCGGCCCGCUCGGAGC
rnacentral:RNase_P_RNA from 1 species